UAUAAUGUAAUUCAAUAUAUUUACUUUGUUUGGAUUAAUGUGUCGAUCUAAUGAUAAUUUAACAUAAAAAAAAUAAUAAAAGCCGGUUGGGUGGUUCUAUCUGUCAAUGCACAGAUUUUUAUUUAUGAAUAUUUUUCUUAGUCAAUAUAUAGAUGUAAUUAAAUAAAAACAACGUGUAGAGACCUCAUCUGCCACCGCACCUCCUAUUAUACAGCUGUCUUGAUCCUCUCUAUCGCUUUGAUCUUCUUCUGGACAAUACAAAAAGCGAGCCGCCGUCGUCGGUUCUAGUUUCCUCCCAUCUUUUUUCUCCUUCUCCGCCACCGUCAACCAUAACCAGCCCAGCCCCUGCCCUGUCCGUCUGGACAACCUGAAACUACCAUAUCCAUACAUCUUCACCAAUAUCAAAACACAAUGUCUUUUUCAGAAGUAAACCUUCAAAAUUAUCUAAUUCCACUGGAGGAGAUUAACCGAGCCACCGAAAACUUCAGUCAGCAAAGAUGUAUCGGAGGUGGCGGAUUUGGUGCAGUCUAUAAAGGACAAUUGUCUGACCAUUGGAAUAACCUCAAAGUUGCUAUCAAACGCCUGGGUAAGGAUAGCCACCAAGGAGAGCGUGAGUUCCGCAACGAGCUUGAGAUGAUUUCCAAAAACCCAUCUAAGAUGCGUUGCAUAACAUGGAUACAACGCCUGAGGAUUUGCCUUGGGGCUGCAAGAGGACUAAGUUACCUUCACUCAGGUCUUGGAGAGCACAACAGAGUAAUACACAGAGACGUGAAGAGCUCUAACAUAUUGUUAGAUGACAAUUUAGUAGCAAAAGUUUGCGAUUUUGGCUUGUCAAAAUCGGGUCCCAGAAAUCAGCCAGAUACCCAACUCUACACAAGGGUUGCAGGUACCCAGUUUUACUUGGAUCCUUCAUACCAUGAAAGUGGUAUAGUCAGAAAAGAAUCAGAUGUGUACUCGUUUGGAGUGGUGCUUUUUGAAAUCUUGAGUGGAAUGCUGGUUUAUCAAGAGGUAAGGACCGGAGAUGAUGAGAGACAAUUUCUCAUGACUUUGGUCCGACGAUACUAUAAGAAAGAGCCACACAGUAUAAUUGAUCCGAAUAUAAGAGAUGAAAUUGAUAGUAGUUCUUUUGAUACUUUUCAAGAAAUUGCAUAUCAGUGCAUUAGUCUCAACAUAACAGAACGCCCUACGAUGGACAAGGUCAUUGAUAGGAUAGAGGUUGCAUUAAUUAUUCAAAUACAAAGUGUUAUUGAGCCACAGGGUGUUUUGAAGGAGGAAGCAUUAUCCAUUCUAGCCAUACUCUCAAGCCACGAAGAAGGGAAGUUGGCAAUAGGUAAGGUAGACGUUGUGGCUGUUUUAGUUGAGGUUAUUGGGAAUGGAUCCCCGAACAACAAAGAGAAUGCAGCUGUAGUUUUGGUGGAACUUUGUUCUGGAGAUCAAAAGUAUUUGGUUGAGGCUCAAGAACUUGGAGUCAUGGGGAAACUGAUGGAUUUACUACAAGAUGGUCCGGAUAUAGGAAAGAGAAAAGCCGGAGAGUUGCUGGAAAUGGUAGAAGAGCAUCGCGAUGACCAAAAUUUCCACUCCAACAUGGAGGAUGUAGAAAGCAGCAGCAGCACUGUGAAGUCGAACAUUUAUGACAAUGUUGAGCUCACUUUGGACUCGGUGGGUGUUCUGAAUGUGAAAAGAGAUGAUGGAGCUGAGUUGGAAGAUCGGGAGCUGAAUUUAUUAGCUAACGGGUUGGAAAAGAGGUCUACUGUUGGUUCGUCGGUGGUUAACAAUAUGUCAACGCGGAUCCGGCAGGUGUCUAAAGAUCUGAAACAGUUAACAGUUGGUCGUUUUAAUUAGAGGACUAAAUUCGCUGGAACUUAUGUUCUUAAGGGGCUCAAGUUCAUUAGCAAGAAUGGCCUACCACAUGUGUUGUGGAUGGCCUUGGAGGUGCGGGUCGACCAUCUCAUCAAUUCCAGCCAUUUGGUUACUUCAAGUGGCGGAAUUCUGGGAGUGCGUUGUUAAGCAGGGCUUCAGGAUUGAAUAAAGAUUCUGAAGACUUCGCUGGAGAGCUAUUCGACACACUAACUUGAAGGAAGAAGUAACAGCCGACACAAUUAACAAAACACAAUUGAAGGAUUUUUGGGACAAAUUUUUUUGAAAAAGUUGUUAAACCAUCAAGAACUCACUCUGAUAUCGCAUGAAGGAUUCCUAGAUAGAUGACAAAUGCGAAAUUAAGAUGAUCAAUAUGAAUAAAAAAUUAUGAAAGAACAGGUGAAGUAAAUAAAUUUGUUUAAGCAUCAUUCAUGUCUAGAAGGUAAUCAAAGUGUUUAAAAUAGGAAGAUUAAGAACUCUCUCUCUCUUUCUUCCGUGCACAUAAGACUACAACACUAUUUAUAGUGGUGUUCUCACAGACUUAAAAAUGUAUAGUGUGACAAACCUAUCAAAGUACAACUCGAAAAUGCACAGUGAAAUACAUUAUGCCACAUCAUCGGAUUCAAUAGUUGUUACUCAACAGUAAUUAUAUGUAUGGGUUUCAAUUUGACGUUGAUCGACACUUCCUGAUCUACAAAAUUAGGUUACCGACUUCCGCUAAUUAAACCACCAAGAACGACAAAAUCCAUAGUACAAAAGCUCGCCCAUGAAUGGAAAUUUGUCCUUUUUGUUGUCUACCAACUAAACUUCUGAUCGGUAUCUUAUAUCGUGUGGUGGCUUUUUUAUAAUGGGAUUGCUUAAUGCAAAGUGCAUGUUUUUUUUUCUAUUUUUGUUCUUUAAAUUGAUAUAUAAUAAAAUGUGUUUUAAAUCUAUUUUCAUGUACUUUUAUAUUCGUAGAUGCAAAGGAUUCAUAAGUGUUUCUAAUACUUCCAAAGUUUUGAGCCAUGUUUUUCUAGGA